GCCUAGUCGGAACAGUGGUUUCGGGACCACUAUUCCGAGGCCAGAGAAAAUUAUUUUAGUAUUAUUUUAUGUGUUAUAAUAUGAUUUUAUAAGUGCAUGUUAAUUUUGGUAUAUUAAUUUUAGCGAUUUCUAGUCCAAUUUCGAAAAAGGACUAAAUCGCGUAAAAAGUAAAAGUUGUGUUUUAAUACCUAAAGGUGUUAAAUUGCCUUGUAUCUUAAAUUGGGGGUCUUUAAAGUGAAAUUAGGCCAUUGAAAGUGUGAUGGCCGGCCAUGGGAGACAAAAUAGUUGAAAAGUCAAAAUUAGACAAAAUAGUUUUAUUAUUAACAAAUAAAAAAAAAAAAAAGAAAAAGCUAUCAUUUUUCUCUUCCCCUUCACCGAAAUAUGCAGCAAAGAAAGGGUUUUGAAGCUGGAAAAUUUCAGCAACAUAUUUCCCUUGCUUAUGAUGAAAAUUGAGACUUGGACCUAGAACGGAAAGAAAUCGAUUUAUGGACUAGUACGUCCUUUUCACAUUUGUGGUAUCGAGAUGAUGAAAAUUGAGACUUGGACCUAGAACGGAAAGAAAUCGAUUUAUGGACGAGUACGUCCUUUUCACAUUUGUGGUAUCGAGAGUUUCCAGGUUAGCUCGGGUUGGAGGCCGUC